AUUAAGUAAAUUAAAUAUAAAACUUAAAUUAUAAUAUAUAUAUAUAUAUAAGACGUCCGCAAACAACCAUAAACUUAUCAAUUAAUAAAGUUACAUACUAUAUAUUUUUAAAAAUCAAAUGGCGAUAUAAGCAACCAAAACCAUGUAGAAAUCCUUAAAAACAUAACCAGUUUUAGAUGUAAUGGAUAAAAAAAAUUAUAUAAUGCAGAUGCACAGUACAUAUCAAAUUUUACAUUAUAUUUUGAAUCAAACGAUUAUUUUCUCAUAAUCAAACGAUUAUGAGAUGUAUUCUUCCCAUAAACAUAUUAAAAAUAAAUAAUAAAUUUUAACAACCACCAAUAUAUAUAGCGACAUAUUACCAAAAUAUAGCUACAUAUCUCUAUUUACACUAAAAAUAUCUACUAUUUCAAAAUGAUAAAUAUACAACUUACUUUUAUCACAUAAAGUUACAAAAUUAGUAUAUAUUUCUGAUUUAGUAUAUAAUCUUGAGAUAUACCGAUUCUCUAAACAAAUUAAAAAUAAAAAGACAUUCAAUAACAAAAAAUAAUAAUCUGAAAAUGAAACUAAAAAUAUUGCUACCUAAAUAAGAAUCAAAACCAAAACUUCCGAUUCCCUAUUCACAC
rnacentral:lncRNA from 1 species